UACGAAGGGGACUAGCGUUGUUCGGAAUCACUGGGCGUAAAGCGCACGUAGGCGGAUUUGUAAGUCAGGGGUGAAAUCCCCGGGGCUCAACCUCGGAACUGCCUUUGAUACUGCGAAUCUUGAGUCCCGAUAGAGGUGGGUGGAAUUCCUAGUGUAGAGGUGAAAUUCGUAGAUAUUAGGAAGAACACCGGUGGCGAAGGCG
rnacentral:rRNA from 1 species